rnacentral:SRP_RNA from 1 species
GCACUAGUCGGGGAGCCAGCGGUGCCCUGUUACCUGCAAUCCGCUACAGCAGGGAUGAAUUCCCGUUUGAGGGAAUGUAUUGUGUCGUUUGCCCGGAGCGGGCAGCGUUGAUGAUCCGGUCUCGAGCAACGGAAACUUCCGAACCAUGUCAGGCGGGGAACCGAGCAGCAUUAAGGAGGACCUUUCGUGUGCCUUGAGGUCACCGGAUCUGAGCAAGCCACUUCGGUUAGCGGGCAUGGUGCAUUUUCGACAACGGGUG